AUUGAACGCUGGCGGCAGGCCUAACACAUGCAAGUCGAGCGGAUGAAGGGAGCUUGCUCCUGGAUUCAGCGGCGGACGGGUGAGUAAUGCCUAGGAAUCUGCCUGGUAGUGGGGGAUAACGUCCGGAAACGGGCGCUAAUACCGCAUACGUCCUGAGGGAGAAAGUGGGGGAUCUUCGGACCUCACGCUAUCAGAUGAGCCUAGGUCGGAUUAGCUAGUUGGUGGGGUAAAGGCCUACCAAGGCGACGAUCCGUAACUGGUCUGAGAGGAUGAUCAGUCACACUGGAACUGAGACACGGUCCAGACGCCGACGGGAGGCAGCAGUGGGGAAUAUUGGACGGUGGGCGAAAGCCUGAUCCAGCCAUGGCGCGUGUGUGAAGAAGGUCUUCGGAUUGUAAAGCACUUUAAGUUGGGAGGAAGGGCAGUAAGUUAAUACCUUGCUGUUUUGACGUUACCAACAGAAUAAGCACCGGCUAACUUCGU
rnacentral:rRNA from 1 species